CCCCCUCCCCCCAGCCACGGCGUGAGCGCGGUUUCUCCCCGGGUCACACGGGCGAUCAAAGCCUCGCCGGCAGAGCCUGCUGGGCACUUCUGCUGCCCCCCGGCUGGAGCCUUGGUGACGGCAAACAGUUUCCUUCCUUUACAUGUUUAACGCCGAGGACCCGAAGGUGAAGUAGAGGUGUCAGAGGCUUUCCUUGGGGCGGAGUGGAGACGUCGGUGGCAGGCAGCGAACGCGCCUCCGUGCAGGGAGAGGGAGAAUCCGAAGGAAGCUGGAAGUGCAAUUUAAGCCUGACGUCUCAUUUGCUCUCCCUCCAACUUGCCCUGAAGGACACUGGGGGUGAUGAUCUGUGCUUAAUCCCCAGCGAGGAUCCGCCUUCAGGUGCGGGCUGAGAAGCGACAGAGCGGAUAGCGAGAUGCCCUCGUGCCUUAAAGCCACGGUGGCGGGAGAACGUUGGCUUGUAAUCAGCCCCGAGCUUUGGCAAAACGUGAGCACAGAUGGGACGAACCUGUUGCCCCAUUUGCUGAUUCCACUGCUAAGGAGGCCGCGUGUGAUUAUCUGGGGCUUAGAGCUAACGCCAGUCCACACUGAGCACUCAUAAUGACAGGAUCUUCAGUGGGAUCCGCACAGCAGGAUCUGCCACCACUUAAUGAAGUAAAUGAGGAAUUUGAAAACCAUUAAAACUAUUAAAAUGCCAUCUGUUCAUGACUGAAUCCCCAUUAGUGCAAAUUAGUGUCGAUGCUCUCGACGCCAAGGUCUUAAACUAAAUAAAAUAAAAAUAGGUCCGGCGUGCAGGUCUAUGGUGAGAAGGUGAGAGGGAGGCGUCGGGGCCAGAUGACCCAGAGCGAUACCCAGAGCAUUCCCAGUGUUACCAUCAGCGUUACCAUCAAAAAUCUCUGGAAAAUGCAGAAAAACAUUUACAUGCCAGUACGCCCAGUGCUGCAUGCAUCAGCAGAUCUGUCCUUUUCAUUGCUUUUAAACCAGGAAUCCCAAGAUUAGCAACAUCAUCAGGGGGGUAUUCGACAAAGUAAGCCGGAUAACUUAAGCCAAACAUGAAAACUGUCCAAUAGUAAGAGAAGUAAGCGUCAUUCCUAUUUGCUGAUGUUGUCUGGCUGAUGAAGAAAUCCUGCUUUGAGGAA